ensembl:lncRNA
GAAAGACAGCGAAGGUGAACGCGUGUUCAGACUCUCAUGAGCAAAUCUUGCAGGUGCAAGGAAUCCAGACAGCUAAAAUGGCUAGCGUGUACAAGAAGCAGGAAGCAGGGAGCAAACUGAGACACAAAAUGGUAACCUCACGUUGGUUCUCUUUUCACCAACAGCAACUUGACUCCACUGAAGUCGUUUGAGGUACAAAUCAAACUACUAAUCAGUUCCUGUCACAGGAUUACCAGCUGCUGUCCACUGAGGGGCCGGAUGCGAACAUUUACCAAGAGGAGCCUGAUGGUGAAAGUCAGUGGUACCCCGACACUGAUGACACCCCAAGACAGUAGGAAGUAGCCUGAGACACAGUGCCCCUCUCUCCCUUUCACCAUCAGCUUCCCCCUCCCUUCCCCCCCCCCCUUCUUUUUAUGCUAAGAAAAAGGGAAGUAUGUUGGUAUCAGGAAUUGCCUUUACCUCCAACAGCGACACCGGUUGGUCACUGUUGCCAUGGCAACGGCCGUACAUUCCCAGUGUUCCUUUAGUUUAAUUCCCACCUCCAUCUGGGAGUAGUUACCUCACAUUCCAAAUAAAAGGCAGCCCUCUUCUGCCCUCCUUCUCUUCCUCUUCUUUCUCUCGAUCCUUCCCCUUGUCUCGUUCUCCCAUUAAAUCUCUCCACGUGGAACUGUGUUGGUUUGGUGUGCUCUAUCUGGACGGGC